rnacentral:pre_miRNA from 1 species
AUACUACUCCUUCCGUCCCAAAAUUCUUGUCUUAGAUUUGUCUAAAUACGGAUGUAUCAAGUCACGUUUUAGUAUUAGAUACAUCCGUGUCUAGAUAAAUCUAAGACAAGAAUUUUGGGACGGAGGGAGUAUAUG